rnacentral:rRNA from 1 species
AUCACUCGGCUCGUGGAUCGAUGAAGACCGCAGCUAAAUGCGCGUCAGAAUGUGAACUGCAGGACACAUGAACACCGACACGUUGAACGCAUAUUGCGCAUCGGACGUUUCAACCCGACCGAUGCACACAUCCUUGAGUGCCUACCAAGUUAUGUAUACACUUUACCAGACUGACCGUCCCAUCCCCGUGAUGGGCUGUCGCAGAAUGGCGUGCUCGGACCCCGCUAGUGGGCCCGUGGGCGCUGAAAGUGAGAGUGCUAUUGUAAUAGGAUGGUACGCUAGGUGAGAGAUGAACGGGCGCGCGUCAAGUCGCACGGUUCGACCUCCAGUAUCAACUAGGGAUGAAACCCCCGCAGCCUAACAGAUUAACACCAGGCGCUAGCAAAGGGGUCCCCGGUUGGCUCGGGUCGAGUAACACUUGCGGCCCAACGCGCCCGUCACCAUCUGCUCUGCCUUACUCUCUCAUGUAGGCCUCAAGUGAUGUGUGACUACCCCCUAAAUUUAAGCAU